rnacentral:lncRNA from 1 species
UUAGGCUGGGUUCUUUUAUUUAUGCCAACCUAAACUUUUAUAAGGUGGCCUUCCUUGCAUCUGCUGGCCUAUGAACUUGGAGCAAUUGUAAAAUAUUAUUAUCCACAACCCACUCGUGUAACUGAAAACUACAGUUUAUUAGAUGUCUGUCUUCCUUGUGUCCCCGUCUGUUUUCAAUUUUAAUGUGACAUCUAUCACUAUUUUAAAUGUGCAUGUCCAUGCUCUUGUGAUUUGUCUUUCUAAUAUUCUACAUAAUCUGAUGAAUUUCCUGACAAGACUCUGAAUUCAAUGGUAUCAUACUAAUUCAUUUCAGUCAGUCCAUACAUACACAUGCUCUUGAGCAUCCACAAUGUAUGUCCUGUACUAAUUCUCAUUUACUGUUGGUCCAAUUAAUUCUUUUUAAAUUAGGUAUUAAAUAUGUGGGAGUUGACAAAUCAGCCAUGCCCAUCUUUUGCCUGGAAACAUGUGA